rnacentral:rRNA from 1 species
AUUGAACGCUGGCGGCAUGCCUUACACAUGCAAGUCGAACGGCAGCACGGGAGCAAUCCUGGUGGCGAGUGGCGAACGGGUGAGUAAUAUAUCGGAACGUGCCCAGUCGUGGGGGAUAACGCAGCGAAAGCUGUGCUAAUACCGCAUACGAUCUACGGAUGAAAGCGGGGGAUCGCAAGACCUCGCGCGAUUGGAGCGGCCGAUAUCAGAUUAGCUAGUUGGUGGGGUAAAGGCCCACCAAGGCGACGAUCUGUAGCUGGUCUGAGAGGACGAACAGCCACACUGGAAAUGAGACACGGUCCAGACUCCUACGGGAGGCAGCAGUGGGGAAUUUUGGACAAUGGGCGCAAGCCUGAUCCAGCAAUGCCGCGUGCAGGACGAAGGCCUUCGGGUUGUAAACUGCUUUUGUACGGAACGAAACGGUUCUCUCUAAUACAGGGGGCUAAUGACGGUACCGUAAGAAUAAGCACCGGCUAACUACGUGCCAGCAGCCGCCGCCGUAA